rnacentral:rRNA from 1 species
UGAGGAAUAUUGGUCAAUGGGCGCAAGCCUGAACCAGCCAUGCCGCGUGCAGGAUGACGGUCCUAUGGAUUGUAAACUGCUUUUGUACGGGAAGAAACCCUCCUACGUGUAGGAGCUUGACGGUACCGUAAGAAUAAGGAUCGGCUAACUCCGUGCCAGCAGCCGCGGUAAUACGGAGGAUCCAAGCGUUAUCCGGAAUCAUUGGGUUUAAAGGGUCUGUAGGCGGUCUUGUAAGUCAGUGGUGAAAGCCCAUCGCUCAACGGUGGAACGGCCAUUGAUACUGCUGGACUUGAAUUAUUGGGAAGCAACUAGAAUAUGUAGUGUAGCGGUGAAAUGCUUAGAGAUUACAUGGAAUACCAAUUGCGAAGGCAGGUUGCUACCAAUGGAUUGACGCUGAUGG